UAUCUCUGUAGAGUCUGCAUAUCAAUAAGCGGAGGAAAAGAAACUAACAUAGGAUUCCCUCAGUAACGGCGAGUGAAGCGGGAAGAGCUCAAAUUUGAAAUCUUCAAGGUUUGACCUUGACGAAUUGUAGUUUAAAGAAGUGUUUUCGGUUAGAGGUAGUGGUAAAAGUUCUUUGGAAUAGGACAUCAUAGAGGGUGAGAAUCCCGUAUUUGACCAUUCUUUCUAGCUUUGUGAUACACCUUCGAAGAGUCGGAUUGUUUGGAAUGCAGUCCAAAAUGGGUGGUAAAUUUCAUCUAAAGCUAAAUAUUGGCGAGAGACCGAUAGCGAACAAGUACCGUGAGGGAAAGAUGAAAAGAACUUUGAAAAGAGAGUUAAACAGUACGUGAAAUUGUCAAAAGGGAAGCGUUUGACACCAGUGUUGUUUUUCCGAAAAUCAAUUAAAAAUGGAUUCAUGCUAAGUUAUAUUGACCUUAUCAGCUUGCAAUUUAGUUUUGGGUUUCUUUUUGAUGCACUUUUCGGUUAACAAGUCAACAUCAAUUUCCUUUGCUGUAGAAAGGCAGGAGGAAGGUGGCUUCAAUUUCGGUUGAAGUGCUUUAUAGCCUUCUGUCCUCUGCAGGUCGGAGAGAUUGAGGUCUGCAGCGUAGAUCCUUCGGGGCUAGAUACGAUUCGUGCUAAGUUAUAGCCUUUGUAUAGACAACAUUGUUGACUAUGAUUAGGUCAUUGUAGAUUUACUCGCAGAGUAGCUAUUUUACCUACGCUUAGGAUGUUGAUCUACAGAGCGAGAGU
rnacentral:rRNA from 1 species